GGUAAUGCCGGAUGCUCCGGUUGGAUGCAUGUCCUUCCGGGAAAGAUCCAUCGGUAUGGGAUGGGGUCGCGUCCUAUCAGCUUGAUGGCGGGGUAACGGCCCACCAUGGCUUCGACGGGUAGCCGGCCUGAGAGGGCGACCGGCCACAUUGGGACUGAGAUACGGCCCAGACUCCUACGGGAGGCAGCAGUGGGGAAUAUUGCACAAUGGGCGCAAGCCUGAUGCAGCGACGCCGCGUGCGGGAUGGAGGCCUUCGGGUUGUAAACCGCUUUUGAUCGGGAGCAAGCCCUUCGGGGUGAGUGUACCCUUCGAAUAAGCACCGGCUAACUACGUGCCAGCAGCCGCGGUAAUACGUAGGGUGCAAGCGUUAUCCGGAAUUAUUGGGCGUAAAGGGCUCGUAGGCGGUUCGUCGCGUCCGGUGUGAAAGCCCAUCGCUUAACGGUGGGUCUGCGCCGGGUACGGGCGGGCUGGAGUGCGGCAGGGGAGACUGGAAUUCCCGGUGUAACGGUGGAAUGUGUAGAUAUCGG
rnacentral:rRNA from 1 species